rnacentral:rRNA from 1 species
GAUCCUGGCUCAGGAUGAACGCUAGCUACAGGCUUAACACAUGCAAGUCGAGGGGCAGCAUGGUCUUAGCUUGCUAAGGCCGAUGGCGACCGGCGCACGGGUGAGUAACGCGUAUCCAACCUGCCCAUCACUUGGGAAUAACCUUGCGAAAGUAAGACUAAUACCCAAUGAUAUCCCACGAAGGCAUCCGAAUGGGAUUAAGGAUUUAUCGGUGAUGGAUGGGGAUGCGU